rnacentral:rRNA from 1 species
AGUGAACGCUGGCGGUAGGCCUAACACCUGCAAGUCGAACGGCAGCACAGUAAGAGCUUGCUCUUACGGGUGGCGAGUGGCGGACGGGUGAGGAAUACAUCGGAAUCUACUUUUUCGUGGGGGAUAACGUAGGGAAACUUACGCUAAUACCGCAUACGACCUACGGGUGAAAGCAGGGGAUCUUCGGACCUCGCGCGACUGAAUGAGCCGAUGUCGGAUUAGCUAGUUGGCGGGGUAAAGGCCCACCAAGGCGACGGUCCGAUGCUGGUCUGAGAGGAUGGACAGCCACACUGGAACUGCGACACGUACCAUACUCCUACGGGAAGCAGCAGUGGGUAAUAUUGGACAAUGGGAGCAAGCCUUAUCCAGGCAUCCCGCGUGGUUGAAGAAGGCCUUCGGGUUGUAAAGCCCUUUUGUUGGGAAAGAAAAGCAGCAGAUUAAUACCCCGCUGUUCUGACGGUACCCAGAGAAUAAGCACCGGCUAACUUCGUG